rnacentral:rRNA from 1 species
AUACGUAGGUGGCGAGCGUUGUCCGGAAUUACUGGGUGUAAAGGGCGUGUAGGCGGGGUGAUAAGUCAGAUGUGAAAUACCAGGGCUCAACUCUGGGGCUGCAUCUGAAACUAUGAUUCUUGAGUGCCGGAGAGGAAAGCGGAAUUCCCAGUGUAGCGGUGAAAUGCGUAGAUAUUGGGAGGAACACCAGUGGCGAAGGCGGCUUUCUGGACGGUAACUGACGCUGAGGCGCGAAAGCGUGGGGAGCAAACAGGAUUAGAUACCCUGGUAGUCCACGCCGUAAACGAUGGAUACUAGGUGUAGGAGGUAUCGACCCCUUCUGUGCCGGAGUUAACACAAUAAGUAUCCCACCUGGGGAGUACGGCCGCAAGGUUGAA